AUAAACAGGAGUUUGGCAAAGGAAACCUCCCAACCCUACCCUUGUCUGAGAGCACCUGGCUCCUCUGUGAUGCUUGGUUACUGUUUAAGCCUGAUCUAUGGAAUUUCUUAUUCCCUACUAUGAAAUCUCUGGUACCUCACACACUUGAAGAUAAGGGUGUCCAUAGAAGAGGUCAGAAGAACGCAACAUUUUUCAAUUGGAUUUUACCUUGUGCUAUCAAUAUUAUCCCCGAACAUCCUGCAUUACUGUGAAAGGUCUUUGAGAGAUGACUAGCAAAAUAAACUGUCCUAUGGUCAACUGAAUGCAUAAUCUUCAUUUCCAUGGGAAACAUGUUGGUGGUCUGCAAAGCUAAGAAAAUUGAAAAUCACUGCUUUUAAAGAGAGCCAAUGAUCCAGAGAGACAUAGACCCCCAGCAUAAGCAUGAGUCUUGGGACACCUGGUGCUUGGAAGCUGAAGUAUGGACAGAUGUAACAAUGCCUGGGGCAUUUUGUUUCAUUUUUCCUUCAUAAGGUGACUCGAGGAAUAGGUUGGCCACUGAAAACAAAUAUGGAUAUUCUCCAUAGGAGUGACAGAGAAAGUGUCCUAUGCCACCAGCAUCAUACUCAGGAGCUCUACAUGGGCUGGUCAGGAGCUGCUGGUGCAGGAAGGGAGAUGCCUUUUCUCUGACAUGGAGGUGCAAAAGGACUUGCCCCUAGGCACUGACUGAGAAGAACUCUACUGACCUCAGGAUUUAACGAAAGCCUACAAACUAGAGACCAGAAUUUGCUAUCUGUUAAGCAGGAAAGGAUGGUCAGCAUCCAGUUCCGCUCCAUAGCUUAGAAUCUGAUUGGCAAAUCUGUCUAGCUCCUGGAUACUUCUUGGGAACCAUGGUACUGCAAAACAGAAAAGAAAUAGAGACUGGUGAACCUGAUCCCCAGGAAAAGCUUCCCUCUGAGGAUGGAGCCUCUGAGCAGUCUGCCGGCAGCUGCUACAUGAGCUCCCCACAGUGCCUCGCUGACAUGGCUCAUCCUGGACCCCAACAGACCACCUAGGGGAUAAGAGGAUAACUCUGCCUCCUGGACUAUUCAGCCUUGCUCUUUCUGCUGCACUUCACAGCACAGAGGGCACUUGUGGUUCUGCGUUUCUGUGAAGCACCUGCAUCGAGGGGCUGGAGCAGCACAGGGAGCUCCUUGGGUGGCCACAGCUCAGCCCCACACAGACGGCUUGCUCCCCUGACCAGCUGUCCCACCUCCAGCCUGGAUCCAGCCAGCCUGGCUCCAUCCAACGCUUCUGCUGCGAGCCCUAAGUCUCAUUUCCAGCAGGCCGGGCAACACAGGCGGCUCUCCUGGCUCCGUAGCCCUUUCCUCUGUGCCUCCCCUUCUUCCUCCCAGCAAAAGUGGGCUUUGGUACCCCCUUUCAAGCUGCACAGCCUCCUGUUUUGCCCUAACAGACGGACCAGCACAAGUCACUAGAUGGCAGCAGCAGUCCGAGGAAAAUCUUUCUCAAGUGACUGAUGGGUUUAUUGCUAGCUCUCUAGUUUCCCCAGAAAUGCUCUCUCACCUUGCUGUUAGUAACCUUCCUGCACCUCCAGCCCCUCGAGUUAAAACAGUGGUGAGGGCGAUUAGAAAAAGGGGUGUCUGAGUCCUAGAGAGGAGUCAGUAGAGACAUACCUCAUGAAUGAUGAACCCACCCAACCCUCCUGCCCCUAUUUUCUGUAUACACAGCAGGGCACGGAGUUCAUCUCCCAGCUCUGGCAGUGGCCUUUACAUGAAGGUAGGGGGAUCGCUUCACUGCUUUGUGCUUCAGACUCACCACUGUCAGGGAAGCUGACAACCACUAUCAUCAGUGAAGCAUCCUGAUAAAUGUUUUGGGCACCAGAAAAAAAGCUGUCUGAGAGCCCACAGCAAAGCACUUGUCAGUGUUCAAGCGAGGAACCACUAUUCUCAGGGAAGCAUCAUGAUCUGAAGGGUCCAGACAAACCAGUGGAGGCUGAGGCCUGCAGUGGAUUUCAGCAAUGAUAACUAGGGAUUUGCUGCCCUGGGUCAAAAAGAUCUAGAUGGGCAGAGAUUGAAUCAUUCCAGCUUCAAGAAGCCAUAGAAUAGAUGUAUAAGAAUGAAUUGUUUUCAUUAAACAUAUUUUAUUCUUAAGCUUCCCAAAGCACUUGGUGCAGAGGUUGUGAUAAACUGGGGGACAGACUGAUGCCCAGGCUGAUGCAGUGUCAGUCUCAGGCAUGGAGAUGGGUGGCUUGCUUUUCCUCUACAUAGGUGCAGCAUCUUAUCUUUUAGGUGCAGAGCCUGUAUAGGUACUGGACCUAUUUUCAGCAGAUCUCUGCCCACCUCCCAGCCCCCCCAGACACUUGUGAUAGCUCAGGGAGUGCUGCUCUGAGCUCUGAGACCUGCUCUGGGUGAAACGGUGCAAGCUGUAAAAGGAUCGUGAAGAUGCUUUGUGCUAUUUGCACCAGCAUAGCUGGACUUAAGUCCUGAACAUUCUCAGCUCUUGUGGCAACAAGAAUCAAAGAUGCUGAGCACAGCCCUGGCCCAGCCACCAAGUCCAUACAACCCUGGCAACAGGCACCAGGGUGCAAAAGAGCUACUGCGUCCUCUGCGUAGCUGUGGUGUGCCAGGAGGCUGACCCCAGCCCCCACAGCAACUAUUGAAAAGAUCAAAUCAAAUUAUCCCCUGGCUGAAUCUCUCCCAUAUUUUGUUUGCGACAUCCUCCUCCAGCCCCGUUCGCCAGACUUGCUGUCUGUCUGCACGGCCAUUAAUGAAUUGCCAGAGCAAGCUGUUGCAACACUGGGCCUCUGUGAAGGUCCGAGGAGCAAAAGUGGGCUGAUCAGUAAUAAAUAUUGAUUUGUCUGUAACUGAAAUGGUAGCAUUUAUGGGAUUGUGCUGGACACCCAAGUGGUGACCAAAUUACCAUGGGGUCAAAUGCUUAGCAGAAUGCUAAUAAGCCAUUUAUAUGAGGGGCAGCAAAACAGGGGCAGUGAGGACUUCUGUAGAGCUCCUCCAUUUGGACCAUUGUGAGGAGGGUCAAAGACAGGUCUAUGCAAUUUAUAGCAGUUCAAGGCCCAGGUUUAGCCCUUUUUUAAACAGUCCCAAAUGCUUUGGCCAGCCUCAGGGUUUAGCAAACAAGGACCCUACAGAACGUCAGCCUCCAGUCUGUCUCAGAAAUGCAAUAAAUUGUCUGCAUUUGCCUAAUGCUGCAACAGAAUAAUAUUUAAUUAUUUUUAUUCAUGGGCUCCAAGAGGUCUGCAGAUAUCUAGCUUGUUUCCAAAAAGAGCCAUGAAGAGAUGCACUGUGUUUUCAGAACAAAUCUUUCCAUCUCUACAAAAGGUUUUUGGCCCAGUGACUGCUAGACCACCUCAACUUGAGUUCUGAAAUUACCUUUGGAUUUAUGGCAUUUUGCUGGCCUGCUCAUAGCUAAAAUUACACUGUCAAUC